GACGCGGUUGGAUGUUCUUUGCGAGGCUGCUGAGUCAGAAGCCCGGACGGGCCAGCUGCAGUCUUAAUGAACUGACUCAGGAAGGAAGUGCUUACAGAGAUGGUGUACCGUGCAGUCAGUGGGUGGGAGCAAAUGUCGGCUAGAAGACCUGAGCCUUGGGAAGGGGCGGCCUGAUUCCCGGGGAAGAGCAUUGGCUGGAAGUCUGGAGGCCUGGGCUGGUCUCUGCUCUGCCACUAACUUGCUGCAUGACUUUGAGCCAGAAAAAGAGGGAUCACUCACCCAUUCUCCGUCAGAUACUAAGCUGCUGACUGCCUCAAGGACGAACUUCUCUCCCUUGGCUUUCCAGGCUUGGCCAGAUAGGACCACCCUCUGAAGCAGGAACUAUUGUUACCGCUGCUUUAUAGACAAAGCGACCUAAGGAACCAAAAGGUUAGUUUACCCAAGAUCCCACAGCAGGGUAGUCUGUAAUGUCUGCUACCGAAUUCUGGCUAUUCCCACCCCCCAUAUCCGCCCCUCAGAAGGAUUGUUACACUUAAAGACCCCUAGUCAGGUUAGUGGCAUUGGUAUUUUCAAGCAAUUGUUUUAAAUGACCACGUUCUAUAUUUUUGUUGUUUUAAACGAUCACGUUCUAUGUUUUUGAAAGAUGCUAGCAACAAAGAGGACAUAUGGGUGGCAAAUGAGCACACACAAAGAUGUUCAACGUCAUUAGCCAUCAGGGAAAUACAAAUCAAAAUUCUAAUGAGAUAAUAUUACAGACCUAUUAAAUAAUACAGAUGGUAGCAAGUGCUAGCAAGGAUAAGAAGCAACUAGAACUCCUGGCCAGAGCUAUCUUUGGUGACAGAAGGCAGCACAGCGGUUACCUUUGUGAGAAGUAGAGGUGACUGAGAAGGGGGGUUUCAGAGGUAAAGGUCUACAUCUGGGUGAUGAUUCCGACGGGCGUGUUCACUUCAUGAAAAUUCAUUAAGCUUAUGAGCUGUGUGCUUUUCUGUCUGUAAAGGUUUAUUUAAGUAAAAAGUUUAUGGAAAAGUAAAUUAUUACAGGGGCACCUGGGUGGCUCAGUCGGUCAGGC
rnacentral:lncRNA from 1 species